GAUGAACGCUGGCGGCGUGCCUAAUACAUGCAAGUCGAGCGAACGGACGAGAAGCUUGCUCUUCUGAUGUUAGCGGCGGACGGGUGCGUAACACGUGGAUAACCUACCUAUAAGACUGGGAUAACUUCGGGAAACCGGAGCUAAUACCGGAUAAUAUUUUGAACCGCAUGGUUCAAAAGUGAAAGACGGUCUUGCUGUCACUUAUAGAUGGAUCCGCGCUGCAUUAGCUAGUUGGUAAGGUAACGGCUUACCAAGGCAACGAUGCAUAGCCGACCUGAGAGGGUGAUCGGCCACACUGGAUCUGAGACACGGCCCAGACUCCUACGGGAGGCAGCAGUAGGGACUCUUCCGCAAUGGGCGAAAGCCUGACGGAGCAACGCCGCGUGAGUGAUGAAGGUCUUCGGAUCGUAAAACUCUGUUAUUAGUGAAGAACAUAUGUGUAAGUAACUGUGCACAUCUUGACGGUACCUAGUCAGAAAGCCACGGCUAACUACGUG
rnacentral:rRNA from 1 species